rnacentral:rRNA from 1 species
UUUUGAACGCGAAGAACCUUACCUGGGUUUGACAUGGCCGCAAAACCUGCAGAGAUGUGGGGUCCUUCGGGGGCGGUCACAGGUGGUGCAUGGCUGUCGUCAGCUCGUGUCGUGAGAUGUUGGGUUAAGUCCCGCAACGAGCGCAACCCUUGUUCGAUGUUGCCAGCGGUUCGGCCGGGGACUCAUCGAAGACUGCCGGGGUCAACUCGGAGGAAGGUGGGGAUGAGGUCAAGUCAUCAUGCCCCUUAUGUCCAGGGCUUCACGCAUGCUACAAUGGCCGGUACAAAGGGCUGCGAUACCGUAAGGUGGAGCGAAUCCCAAAAAGCCGGUCUCAGUUCGGAUCGGGGUCUGCGAACUCGACCCCGUGAAGUCGGAGUCGCUAGUAAUCGCAGAUCAGCAACGCUGCGGUGGAUACGUUCCCGGGUCUUGUACACACGCCAAA